UACGGAGGGAGCUAGCGUUGUUCGGAAUUACUGGGCGUAAAGCGCGCGUAGGCGGCUUUGUAAGUUAGAGGUGAAAGCCCGGGGCUCAACCCCGGAAUUGCCUUUAAGACUGCAUCGCUUGAAUCCGGGAGAGGUGAGUGGAAUUCCGAGUGUAGAGGUGAAAUUCGUAGAUAUUCGGAAGAACACCAGUGGCGAAGGCGGGUCACUGGACUGGUACUGACGCUGAGGUGCGAAAGCGUGGGGAGCAAACAGG
rnacentral:rRNA from 1 species